GACGAACGCUGGCGGCGUGCUUAACACAUGCAAGUCGAACGGAAAGGCCCUGCUUUUGUGGGGUGCUCGAGUGGCGAACGGGUGAGUAACACGUGAGUAACCUGCCCUUGACUUUGGGAUAACUUCAGGAAACUGGGGCUACUACCGGAUAGGAGCUCCUGCUGCAUGGUGGGGGUUGGAAAGUUUCGGCGGUUGGGGAUGGACUCGCGGCUUAUCAGCUUGUUGGUGGGGUAGUGGCUUACCAAGGCUUUGACGGGUAGCCGGCCUGAGAGGGUGACCGGCCACAUUGGGACUGAGAUACGGCCCAGACUCCUACGGGAGGCAGCAGUGGGGAGUAUGGCACAAUGGGCGGAAGCCUGAUGCAGCAACGCCGCGUGCGGGAUGACGGCCUUCGGGUUGUAAACCGCUUUCGCCUGUGACGAAGCGUGAGUGACGGUAAUGGGUAAAGAAGCACCGGCUAACUACGUG
rnacentral:rRNA from 1 species